rnacentral:lncRNA from 15 species
GGAGGAGGCUGUGAGGGUGGUGUCUUCUUUACUGUCAGGUGAAAAACAGAACACACACAUACACACACACACACACACAUACAUAUACAGUAAUGAACUGUUGACCUUUCAGUAGUGAACAGAGUACUGGGUCCGUUGCUGCUCAGCAGAGACAUCAACAAAUACUGCAAGUUUCUCUGGAGGAAUUCAAGUAUUGCCAACUACAACCGAUGUGGUCGAGCCAACAAUAACUACAGAUCUGAGACCUGUCUGGAUGUGACAAUCCCAGAUGAUCAUCUGGCUGGAUGUGACAUUUACACUGAGGCUGAUUCACCUCGCAGGACUGAGCUCCGUCCUGACGGUGCUGGACUCCCCGACACCGACUUCCUGAUGUACCUUCACGUACAGGCCACUGACAAGUGUAGAUCCGAGGUACAGACCCACUGGAAACACUGAGAUCUUUUGAUAUUAAAACACGUCUAAGAAGUUCAAUAGUUGAUGAUGUGUGUAUGUAGCACUUCAAAAGUGCGUAAUAAAGAACCAACAGAGGGAACUACUACCACAAGAUUGAUUCUGUUUUGUACAUUUCUCUAGGAAGCAUUGUGUUUUUUAUUUGCUAACAAAAUAGCAGCAACAGACACACAUAAAGAAUAUUGCUGCAUUAAAACAAAAAGCAUCACUGUCUGUACAUUGGAGACAUUUCCCAACAUCAGAUUCCUACAAGAACAAAUGUGUAAACUUUAAUUCAGUGAUGAUAUGAAUGAAUGAAUGAAUACAUUCUCCUUCAUUAGCUUAGAAUCAAAUGUUUCUUCUCUGGGCUCAUGAAAACUAUGUGCAGCUGUCAUUCUCUGCUGUUUCUANNNNNNNNNNNNNNNNNNNNNNNNNNNNNNNNNNNNNNNNNNNNNNNNNNNNNNNNNNNNCCUGACAGGAGGUUAUGUCUGUACCCUGAUGUUACUCCUCCCUCAGACAAUGUCAAUUCAUUUCCUGCUUCUAUUACAAGUGAUCCCUAUGAGACUUUAACUUCAGCCCAGAACGGGACCUGGGCACCUCUUAGACCUCCUACAGAGCUCACUGUAGCCACAGCGCUCGGCAUCACUGCUGCUGUGUGUCUCCUGGCUGCAGUUGUGGUGUCUUACAGGAAAUGUUGCUCCUGCAGGGUCAGGAUCCACUCUGCUCCAGAGCACCACAGCGAUCUGUAGAAAACACUGCGUGUAAAAACGUUUAAUGUUUGUGUUGAAUAAAAUGUGAUUUAGUUUUUCCUUUUCCUCCUCUGUCAUAUGUUUUAAAGCUUAAUUAUCAUUUUAUUGUUGAA